UACACAGACGAGGAGGCUUAUUGGCGCUUGCGGGGGACCCAAAAAUGGGUUCUUAAAGGAGAUGCCUACACCACCUAUUUCCAGGCCAUCGCCAAUGGCCGCCGGCGGCGCAACACGAUUCCGUUCUUGUGGGAUGGCGAUACCCUAAUCCAGCGACCGGCCGACAUCCGGUCUCACGUGGACGACUUUUACAAAGCCCUCUUCAUGGCCUCCCUUAGGGGAGGCCUAGCCCUUGCGGGCAACUUUUGGCCGGCCGAGCAAUGCGUCACGGCGGAGGAAAAUGCCGGCCUCACGGCCCCGUUCUCUAAGCAGGAGGUCUGGUUGGCCAUUAAGGGUAUGAACCCAUCCUCCGUGCUGGGCCCUGAUGGACUUCCACUAAAGUUCUUCCAAGCCUUUUGGGAUGUGAUAAAGCUGGAGGUGCUGGCCCUCUUUGAGAAAUUUUAUAGGGGCACUUGCGAUCUCCGCCACCUAAACUAUGGGGUCAAUACUAUCAUCCCCAAGGUCCCUGGUGAAGGAAAUAUCCCUAGAGGCAAUAAUAAAGUUGUUAUUUAUAUUUCCUUACAUCAUGAUAAAUGUUUAUUAUUCAUGCUAGAAUUGUAUUAA
rnacentral:rRNA from 1 species